rnacentral:rRNA from 1 species
UACGUAGGGGGCAAGCGUUGUCCGGAAUCAUUGGGCGUAAAGCGCGCGUAGGCGGCCCGGUAAGUCCGCUGUGAAAGUCGGGGGCUCAACCCUCGGAUGCCGGUGGAUACUGUCGGGCUAGAGUACGGAAGAGGCGAGUGGAAUUCCUGGUGUAGCGGUGAAAUGCGCAGAUAUCAGGAGGAACACCAAUUGCGAAGGCAGCUCGCUGGGACGUUACUGACGCUGAGACGCGAAAGCGUGGGGAGCAAACAGG